GAGCUGUGGCAUCUCCGUGGAGUUCUGCAGCCACAUAACCAGAGCGUUCACGGUGAGCAUGAAAGGCAGCCGCGUGGAGCGCGCGGAAGAGGCACUUGCCCACAUGGGCAGCUCCGUGUUCAGUGGAAUCACACUUACAAAAUUUGGAGGGAUUGUGGUGUUGGCUUUUGCCAAAUCUCAAAUUUUCCAGAUAUUCUACUUCAGGAUGUAUUUGGCCAUGGUCUUACUGGGAGCCACUCACGGAUUAAUAUUUCUCCCUGUCUUACUCAGUUACAUAGGUAAGAGUUCUCAUCUUAAAAGGGUGGCACAAUAGAAGGACAUUACUGAAAGGGAAUUCUAUCCUGAGGCAUUCUUUUCAAGUAUUUGAACUCAUACUAAUGGUCAUUUGAUAAUGAUAAAUGAUACUGAGUAAAAAAAUUUCUUCUAAAAGA
rnacentral:lncRNA from 1 species